GAGCCGAGCGGUAGCUGGUCUGGCGAGGUUUUAUACACCUGAAAGAAGAGAAUGUCAAGACGAAGUAGCCGUUUACAAGCUAAGCAGCAGCCCCAGCCCAGCCAGACGGAAUCCCCCCAAGAAGCCCAGAUAAUCCAGGCCAAGAAGAGGAAAACUACCCAGUUUACCAAUGGUCUUUUCUAUUUUCCAGGAUGUCAAAAAAAGAAGAGAGGAGGUCACCAAGAAACAUCAGUAUGAAAUUAGGAAUUGUUGGCCACCUGUAUUAUCUGGGGGGAUCAGUCCUUGCAUUAUCAUUGAAACACCUCACAAAGAAAUAGGAACAAGUGAUUUCUCCAGAUUUACAAAUUACAGAUUUAAAAAUCUUUUUAUUAAUCCUUCACCUUUGCCUGAUUUAAGCUGGGGAUGUUCAAAAGAAGUCUGGCUAAACAUGUUAA
rnacentral:lncRNA from 1 species